CAAUAGCGUAUAUUAAGGUUGUUGCAGUUAAAAAGCUCGUAGUUGGAUUUCUGGUCGGAAGCUCCUGUCCUCUGAUGAGCGUACAAGUGCGUCCUACCAUCCUUCUGUUAACCUUUAAGGCUUUCGCGGCUUUCUAGGGGCUCAGAUAUUUUACCUUGAGAAAAUUAGAGUGUUUCAGGCAGGCUAGCGCCGGAAUACAUUAGCAUGGAAUAAUGGAAUAGGACUUUUGCCUCUUCUGUUGGUCAUGAGGCUCGAGUAAUGAUUAAUAGGGAUAGUUGGGGGCAUUAGUACUUAACUGUCAGAGGUGAAAUUCUCGGAUUUGUUAAAGACUAACUUAUGCGAAAGCAUUUGCCAAGGAUGUUUUCAUUAA
rnacentral:rRNA from 1 species